rnacentral:misc_RNA from 1 species
CUCGGUCGCUGCGAUGAGCUCGUCCGAAGCACCCCACAGGCGAGCGCUGCGGCUCUCUGAG